rnacentral:hammerhead_ribozyme from 1 species
AUCCACUUGACGAGUCCCAAAGAGGACGAAACUCGUGUCCUGGAU